UACGUAGGUGGCAAGCGUUGUCCGGAUUUACUGGGCGUAAAGAGCGCGCAGGCGGUCGUUCAAGUCGCGUGUGAAAGCCCCCGGCUCAACUGGGGAGGGUCACGCGAUACUGAUCGACUCGAAGGCAGGAGAGGGAAGUGGAAUUCCACGUGUAGCAGUGAAAUGCGUAGAGAUGUGGAGGAACACCGAUGGCGAAGGCAGCCUCCUGGGCCAGCACUGACGCUCAUGCACGAAAGCGUGGGGAGCAAACAGG
rnacentral:rRNA from 1 species